rnacentral:rRNA from 1 species
GAACGAUCCUUCGGGAUAGUGGCGAAAGGGUGAGUAAUAUGUGGAUAAUUUGCCUCCUACUUGGGAAUAACACACUGAAAAGGGUGCUAAUACCGAAUGUGAUGUAUGAAACUACGGUUUUAUGCAUUAAAGAUGGCCUCUACAUGUAAGCUAUCGGUAGGAGAUGAGUCCGCGUCCCAUUAGCUUGUUGGUGGGGUAAUGGCCUACCAAGGCAACGAUGGGUAGCUGGUCUGAGAGGAUGAUCAGCCACACUGGGACUGGAACACGGCCCAGACUCCUACGGGAGGCAGCAGUGGGGAAUAUUGCGCAAUGGGGGAAACCCUGACGCAGCGACGCCGUGUGCGGGAUGAAGGCUUUCGGGUCGUAAACCGCUGUCAGGAGGGAAGAACCCGGUAGAGUCGAAUAGGCUUUGCCGCUGACGGUACCUCCAGAGGAAGCACCGGCUAACUCCGUGCCAGCAGCCGCGGUAAUACGGAGGGUGCAAGCGUUAAUCGGAAUCACUGGGCGUAAAGCGUGCGUAGGCGGCUUGGCAAGUCAGGUGUGAAAGCCCUCGGCUCAACCGGGGAAUUGCACUUGAAACUGCUAGGCUGGAGUCUCGGAGAGGGUGGCGGAAUUCCCGGUGUAGGAGUGAAAUCCGUAGAUAUCGGGAGGAACACCAGUGGCGAAGGCGGCCACCUGGACGAUGACUGACGCUGAGGUACGAAAGCGUGGGGAGCAAACAGGAUUAGAUACCCU